rnacentral:miRNA from 1 species
AUUAUAUUAGGUUGGAGCAAAAGUAAUUGUGGUUUUUAUCAUUACUUUCAAUGACAAAAAUCUUAAUUACUUUUGCACCAAACUAAUAAUAUGUAUGU